ACCACUGGUGGUGGGAGUUAGGGUUCAGCUUCUUCGUUCUGAACCACUGGUGGGGUGUUAGGGUUCAGCUUCUUCGUUCUUCGUUCUGCAUUUGAAAGCAAGGAGAAGGAAGAGGAAUUCGGUGGGGACAUCCUUCUCAAUGCUGUACUCCCAUUCCUACCACCUACUAUGCAGACUACUCUUCAACAGCAACAACCAAACAGACACCAACAAGACCAACAACAAGACAAUCGGCAACCAACAGAGGAUGAACAAGCUAAUGACCAACAUCAACAACAUUCACCUGGAUAUUCAGAUUAUUAGAUAUAUUAUGUUAUGUUAUAAUUCUAUUGGUUGUACUGCAUUUUGUUUUUAAAUUUGAACCUUAAACUUUAUUUAUGUAUGACACUUUAUUUUGUCUGAAUGAUUAAACUUGUUUUAAUUCACAUAAUUAUGAUUCAUUUAAUAUCUUUAAACAGGAUUAUUAUUAA